UCAAAUUAAUAUUAUUAAAACCACAAAUCAUCUUAAUAGUUACACUUUACAAAAUUACUUCGGUCUACCAGAAAAAAACUAGGCGAGACCCGAAGCUCAGAAAAUUUACAACUGGUACAUCUACUAUUACUACUGCGGAGAAUCUAAGAUUUACCAAUUUACAUACCAAAUCAAAUACAUCACCCGAUGAUGAAGGAGUCGGGUUAUUGAAUAAGAGUCGCGGGAGAACUAACAGUCACGAAUCUGAAAAAAAUAUAAAUGGAGACUGUCAGUCUCGAGAGUGAGUUAAAAUCAAAUAAUCUAGGGACUAUUGCUUCUUCUCAGAAAAACAUAGAUUAUUCAAAUCAGUAUAACAAACCAUACUAUAAUCAUACCCUAUUAUUUCCUUCACAUAAAAUAUUAAUCAUUCGAAUCAAAAUAUCAACCAUGCACGUAAAUACAAAUCACAUUAUAAUCAAAUACCAUAAUAAAUAAAUAAAUAAAAAUAUAUAUUUACUUUUACGGGACGAGUGGCUCGGUAGAACCCUAAAUCCCAAAUUCUAGUAGCCUUUCGGCUCUCUUAAUCCAACAGGUCUGGCGCCCAGAGAGCAAGCUCGAUCAGGGUCCUUACCUUCAGCCUGAACAUUUGAAUUCCAAAUAAGCCGGCGCCCAGAGAGCAUCGCUCGAUCAGGGACCUUAACUCCGGCAAUCAACUGAACUCAGCCCAGAGAGCAAUGCUCGAUCAGGGCAGACAAAUCCAUAAUAAUCUUAUAUCCAUGAUCAUUACCGGUGCGCACGCGGUCCUGAUGUAACCCAUCAGGCGGCAUGUUCUACAAGCCACAUUUCCCAAAUCGCAAUCACCACAUUUAAUAAAUAUUAUUAUCUAAUGAACUCAUCCAACACAUAUCGAAAUAAAGAUUAAAGAUUUAAGAUAAAACGACGUGCAAUUUG
rnacentral:lncRNA from 1 species